rnacentral:rRNA from 1 species
UACUUUAAGGUUAAGUAAAAAGUUUAAGGUUUUAGUUAAAUAGUAAAUCUGAUUAAAUAAAUAUAAAUAAUAAAAGGUAAAAUUAGGAUAUUAUUUUGUAGAGAUGAAGAUUAUAAUUGAAGCUAAAAAAGUUUGGUAAUAAACUAGGAUUAGAUACCCUAUUAUUCUAAAACAAAUUCACCUAAACUAAAUUAAUAAGAGAUAAAUACUUAAAAUUUAAAAAAUUUGGCGGCAAUUUAAUCUUUUCAGAGGAACCUGUUUUAGAAUCGAUAAACCACGAAAAAUCUCACUUGUUUUAGUAUAAAGCAAUUUGUAUACCAUCAUUAUCAGAUAAUUCUUAAAGGAAAAAUUAUUAAAUUUAAUUGUUUAGUAAAAUUAGAUCAUGGUGCAGUCUAUAGGCAAGGUAAAAUGGGUUACAAUAAAUUAUUUUAUAGCGGAUUAGUAGUCGAAAAUUACUAUGAAGAAGGAUUUGAUUGUAUUUUUAUUUCAAUAAGUUACUAAGAUAUAAGUUCUAAAUUGUGUACAUAUCGCCCGUCGCUUUCAUUUAUAAGU